GGAAAAAAAUUUUAAAAGGCAAGAGAUUGAGAGACAUUAUACUUUCAAAAAUAUGAAAGCACAAGCACAACAGUGGAACAUCAUUUUGAGGAAGUUUAGUGUGAACUAAGAUAUAUCCAUCAAAGUUAACCUUCAAGUAUUAAGGCUAUAAGCAGUUUUGAAUGUGCAAGAUCUCAGGCAAUGCUGUAAACAUGUACCCUUCCUGAAGAAUCUACUAGAUACUGAGUAUUACUAAGCAAAAAGAUGACUGUGAAAACAAACACCAGCUGUGAGCAUUUUGUAUAUUUGUAGAAAUAACAUUAAAACCAGGGUGGAAUGAAGGGCAGAUGAACACUAAAUAUUCUGACUAAAUAUUUAGAGAGAACACAAUCUAAAAAGGAGAGGUAUAUAUAUCAACACCACAAGAAGAUGUCACUUCACACCCACUCAGAAGCCUAUAAUUAGCAAGACAGGUAAGAAUACAUAUUGAGGAGGAUGUGAAGAA
rnacentral:lncRNA from 10 species